rnacentral:lncRNA from 1 species
GAACAAAUCUGCAACUAUUCCAAGGCAAUUUUUGGAAGAGGUUGAGCUUCACAAAGUUGAAUCUUUCUCUUGACCUUUAGAACAACCAUGUAUUUUGUGAUAUCAUCAAUGUUUAAGCAUUUGUCUCAACAUUUUAAGGUAGUUUGAAACAGAAGAUUUGAGACCAAAGAUAUGACCACAGCUCCUGAGAAGAAAGACUUGACAUAUGACUGUAUUCCUCUCCAUUAACAUUUAAAUACUGAAAACAAUUAGAAGGAUUGAAGAACUGAGCAAAAGCCUAAUGAAAAUUCUGCUGCAUGGCAAGUCACAGUAUCUUUAAUAUUUCUCUUUUCACUUCAAGAUUGUCCAGGGUUUCCAAAUCUUACCUAAGGCUGAUCAAGAACAAGGUCCUAACAGAAGGUCUAGCCCUUUGAAAAGAGCUCUACUGCAUCCCGGCUUCUGCUCAUCUGAGUCUCAGGGCCUUUCAGACUGUGAAGGUAGUUCAACUUGAAGAAACGAAGGAUGCCAAAACCACACAUGGAUACAGAAAAUGUCAAUUUUAAAACACAGAGGAUAAUACAAAGCUUCUCCUGUGGGAGGAUGAAAGGAGUGCAAGUAGUGAUAGUACUUCUACAAAGACCAUUAGGAUUUGGUGAUUUCAUCAACAAAAACGCUCCCAGAGCCAUAAAGGACAGCCUGGGGGCUAUGGUCAUAUAAGAUGAAUCUCUAGAAAAGGGUAAAGCUCGGGCUAUUUCAGAAGACAGGGUGUCCCCUUGAACUUUAAUAAUUGAUGGAGUGCUCAGAAACUACUGAUAAUGGUUAACAAAUUAAGAUCUAGAGAAGAUAAACUGAAGUCUCACAUGCUACCAAAUUUAAGCUUUCUGGCAAACAACAAAAGAGUGAUCAAAGAUUCAGAAUAUUUGUCAUGCGUAUUUUACAUGCUGUAAUGUGUUUGCUGUUGAAGUAUGUUACCCACACAUGAAUUACUGCUGUUCCUAUUGUCAGUCAUAUAUAUAUAUAUUUCCUUUUUUUUCCAAUAGCAGCUCUUCAGAAUUUUAGCCACUUUCUUCACAUAUACUCAGGAUCUGUCUGCAUCAUAAAAUGGCUUCGAUUGGAAGGAACCUCAAAGAUCAUCAAGUUCCAACUCCCCUGCCAUAGGCAGCUCUACCAAUCUCCAGGUCUGGUGUAGAUUUUGUUGUCUGCAGCCUGCCAUUAUGUAUUCAUUCACUGUGCUUAGUAUGAAAUUUUCUAAUCUGUAGUUAGCCACUGUCUAAAACUGAUCAAGAAUUUGUCCCUUUCCACAGGAUAGUUAUUAGGAAACAUCUUUCUAGUCCUAUUUUGAAAAUGUUUGUUAAAAAUAUUGAAGAAUGUUUUCCUAAAUUCAAGUUGCUGAACUGAAAUAUUUGUUGCUUUUGUGAGGAAGACUUAAGCAUGGAGGAAAAAAAAAUAAUGUAUGGAUGUUUUCUACUAAAAGGAAUUACAAAUGUGGUAUGUAAUCAUUUUGUUUAGUUUUAAAUUGCAUAUCUUACAAAUUUUAAGGAAGUAUACACUCAUGCUACUGAUCAAGUAAUACUAAUCAAUUCAGUCUUGUUUAUAAAAUACACUAAACUUCUAACCUGAGCAUCUCCAGUUUGUGCAAUCAAAUUUGCAUCAAGAAUGGAUGAUUGGAAAUUAUGUCAGUAUAUUGGGUUAGGAAAAGCACUGAACAAACCUGAUCUGAACUUUCUAUUUGUAAUAGGAGCCACAGUUAAAUGCCUUUGCCUUUAAUAUGGUACUUCAACAAAAAAGGUAGACCAAAUUUACAUCUGUGAAUAAAAAGAACACAGAAUGAAAAUGAGGAAUUUUU